rnacentral:rRNA from 1 species
GGAUUAGGAGCUUGCUCUUAUGAAGUGUAGCGGCGGACGGGUGAGUAACACGUGGGUAACCUGCCCAUAACACUGGGAUAACUCCGGGAAACCGGGGCUAAUACCGGAUAACAUUUUGAACCGGAAGGUUCGAAAUUGAAAGGGGGCUUCGGCUGUCACUUAUGGAUGGACCCGCGUCUCAUUAGCUAGUUGGUGGGGUAACGGCUCACCAAGGCAACGAUGCGUAGCCAACCUGAUAGGGUGAUCGGCCACACUGGGACUGACACACCGCCCACACUCCUACGGGAGGCAGCAUUAGGGAAUCUUCCCCAAUGGACGAAAGUCUGACGGAGCAACGCCGCGUGAGUGAUGAAGGCUUUCGGGUCCUAAAACUCUGUUGUUAGGGAAGAACAAUUGCUAGUUGAAUAAACUGGCACCUUGACGGUACCUAACCAGAAAGCCACGGCUAACUACGUGCCAGCAACCGCGGUAAUACAUAGGUGGCAAGCGUUAUCCGGAAUUAUUGGGCGUAAAGCGCGCGCAUGUGGUUUCUUAAGUCUGAUGUGAAAUCCCACGGCUCACCCGUGGAGGGUCAUUGGAAACUGGGAGACUUGAAUGCAAAAGAAGAAAGUGGAAUUCCAUGUGUAUCGGUGAAAUGCAUAGAGAUAUGGAGGAACACCAGUGGCUAACGCGACUUUCUGGUCUGUAACUGACACUGAGGCGCGAAAGCGUGGGGAGCAAACAGGAUUAGAUACCC